CACGCCCCCAGGCGCACCCACCCCAGCUGCUCAACGCGAUUUCCCUUCGCGCUUCUCCGCACCGGGAUCCCCAGUCCCUCAGGUUCCGACAGACCCUCCUGUCAGGCCCAUUCUCCGGGCCCCCUCAGUUGCAGUGUUAAGAUCAACAGUGUUAAGAUUAAAGCCUUGUGAUGUGCUAGCCACUACGCUGAGGAUAUGCCGUGUACUAAAAUUCCUCAGGACUCCUCACAGCUGCCCUGUAAGGAAGCGGCCAUGGCCGGGUUCUAGCGAUGCGAGGCCGAGGCUCGGGGCGCUGAGUAGCCUAGCGCGUCGCCGAGGAGAGCUGGCACGUGAACCCCUUGUCGUUUGCCGUCAGAGGUGUUAUGUGGUGGCCCUCAUUCUCCAUGCAUGGAGCAGACUCUAGGAUCUGCAGUUACUGUAUGAUGAGCCCUUCUGAGUAUUUUGCUUGGGUGGACAGUUUAUGUGUCAGGUAUGUGUAUUUAUAAUUAAAAUCAAAUAUUAUUACAUAGGCUUUGCACCUGGCGAGGUAACAUUGAGAGUAGUUAAUCUCUAGACUGGAAUCCAUCUGGAAGACCACUCAAUAACUUGUGAUUAGCUGGACCUGGUGAUGCAAGCCUGGAGUCCCAGUUACCCGGAGGCUGAGGUGGGAAUAUCGCUUGAGACCAGGAGUUUGAGGCUACAGUGAGCUGUGAUUGUACCACUGCACUCCAGCCUGGGUGACAGUGCAAGACCUCAUCUCUUAAAAAAAACAAACAACUCAAAAAACCUCAUCAUUGAGCACCUAUGAUGUGCCAGCAACUGUACUCAGUGGUGGGGACUUGACGACAAACAAACCAGGGAUGGGAUCCUUGAGCAGUCACCAUCUGACAAGUGACUGGGAAAGAUGAAUAAUGCCCUUCACCAAGAUUCUUCUCUGAUCCACAAAUUCAAUUACCAAUUUAUUUGUUCACUGCUCUUAAACUUAAAUAUUUUUUAGUAGGUAAUAAAGACAUGUUUAAACACUCUUAACUUUUAACAAUUUCUUUGUAAGUACUGUAAUAGUCUUCUUUUCCUUUAAAAAGAAAAAAUACAAAAAGAAGGAAAAGGAAAAUCUAUUCAAAAUAAAGUAUUCCAGAUAUCUGACAUUGCUGCAUUGCUGUAUCAUUCAUUAACAUUCACAAAAAAUAAAAUGAGUGCCUUCCGUGUGUGUGCAGGCAUUGUUCUAGGCAAAGAAGAUUUAGCAUUCAACCAAAACUUCUGUUCUCAUGGAACCUACCUACUCGCAGAUCCAAGCCAUGGUAGUUUGUUCAAGAACCUUCAGCUCUUUUCUGCUUUGUUGUCAAAGGCUUCUAAAAUUGGAUCCCCUCCUCCUUAGUUCUUCCUGAUCCCUGACAGGGAUCCUGUGCUUCAGUCAGCCUCCAAUCCCAACCACCACCACCAACAAAAUCACAAGAAGACACCUAGGCUAUUAUUCUUAACCUGUUUCCCAGUUUCUAUUUGUUAACCCCCUCUGGAUUAGGCAUUGUUGUCUUUGAUCUUGACAUGUGCCUCUAUGUGGAGAGUGUAUUUUUGCUCACCAAAUUUUUACUCAUUAAACUUUACUGGUGCUAUGCUUGCUAACUUAUUUCAGAUAAUUAGAGCUUUUGGAUGCUUUCUCCAGGACAAACUGUUCCUUUCCCCAUCCUCAGCCUUCCAUGCUGUUAAUGUACAAAAUCAGAUGAUUUAAACAUAAAUCAUCUUGAACUCUAGAAUGACCUGGUCCCCUUAGCGAAAAACUGUGGGAUUCAACACUACUCCUCAGUGAUGAUGGUAAGGCUACGUGGGCAGUUGUUUAACCAUUAUCCCCAGGUGCCCUCACCCACAGCCAGCCUGCUCAAAGGACUAUUUCCCAUUCCAAUAAUAAUGACAGAGCUAGGAGGGAGGCCAUGACUAAUAAAGACAUAUAAGAUGUUAUUGCAAAUUCUUUUUUCUAUCCAUAUGAAUUAUAAACUAAAAAAUAUUGACAAAUAUCAGCAAUUACAUCGAAAGAAGAAGGUGGUUGUCAAAAAUAAAAACCAUUGUUAUGUUUUAUAAAUGUUAUUGAAGUCCACAGGAAAUACAUUAAUUUGGUGGGUGUAAAAUUGGAAGAAUUUUGAAAAAUGUAUGCAGUGGUGUAACCACAAACACAAUCAGGAUAUUUCCAUCCCUCCAGAGUUGCCUUAUGUUCCUCCUCCCAAUCUGUUUCCUGUCAACUAAUUAUCUGCUGUCUGUCACUGUAAUAUUGCCUGUUCUAGGAAAUUAGAUGAGUGGAAUUUUCUAUUAUGUGGUCUUUUGAGUCUGACUUCUUUCAAUAAUUAUACUGACUUUGAGAUUUAUCCAUAUUGUUGCAUGUAUCAGUAAUUCAUUCAUUUUCAUUGCUAAGUGGUAUUGUAUGAAUACAGUUUAUUUAUCCGUUCAUCAGUUGAUGGACGUUUGGGUUCAUUCCAAUUUUUAACUAUUAUAAAUAAAGUUGCUAUAAACAA
rnacentral:lncRNA from 1 species